CAAUGCAAAACCCUGCUGCCUUCCUUCCUUCUCAAACACAAACAGUCUCUGCAAAACCAGACCUGCAUUCUUCUGCUUCCAGCAGGAUCAAACAAUACCUCUUGCUCCCGCCUUCCGGCUUCGCUUCAACUGCCACACAGAUUACAGGUAUCCUUUUCUUUUUCUGCUACGCACAACAGGUUCUAUAUUACACCAGUUAGUUCUUGUGACAAAUAUAGCUGCCUCACAAAACUGAAAUUCCCAUCAACAGGCGCCUCUACCUUGGCAUAUAACUUGCACUACACCGCGAGUUGCUUCCAAACGUACUCAAACUGCCUCAAGCUGUGUCGAAACAGAAAGCAGACUACGUUACAGAGUUUCUGGGGGCGACUGAGUCUGCCCACUUUCAAGUAGCAUGCU
rnacentral:lncRNA from 1 species